AGAGGUUCAUUCUGGCUCAGGAUGAACGCUGGCGGCGUGCUUAACACAUGCAAGUCGAGCGAAGCGAUCAAGAUGAAGUUUUCGGAUGGAUUCUCGAUUGACUGAGCGGCGGACGGGUGAGUAACGCGUGGGUAACCUGCCUCAUACAGGGGGAUAACAGUUAGAAAUGACUGCUAAUACCGCAUAAGCGCACAGUGCCGCAUGGUACGGUGUGAAAAACUCCGGUGGUAUGAGAUGGACCCGCGUCUGAUUAGCUGGUUGGUGGGGUAACGGCCUACCAAGGCGACGAUCAGUAGCCGACCUGAGAGGGUGACCGGCCACAUUGGGACUGAGACACGGCCCAAACUCCUACGGGAGGCAGCAGUGGGGAAUAUUGCACAAUGGGGGAAACCCUGAUGCAGCAACGCCGCGUGAGUGAAGAAGUAUUUCGGUAUGUAAAGCUCUAUCAGCAGGGAAGAAAAUGACGGUACCUGACUAAGAAGCCCCGACUAACUACGUGCCAGCAGCCGCGGUAAUACGUAGGGGGCAAGCGUUAUCCGGAUUUACUGGGUGUAAAGGGAGCGUAGACGGCGAGACAAGUCUGAAGUGAAAGCCCGGGGCUCAACCCCGCGGACUGCUUUGGAAACUGCCUUGCUGGAGUGUCGGAGAGGUAAGUGGAAUUCCUAGUGUAGCGGUGAAAUGCGUAGAUAUUAGGAGGAACACCAGUGGCGAAGGCGGCUUACUGGACGAUAACUGACGUUGAGGCUCGAAAGCGUGGGGAGCAAACAGGAUUAGAUACCCUGGUAGUCCACGCCGUAAACGAU
rnacentral:rRNA from 1 species